CGCAGCCGCGGUAAUUCCAGCUCCAAUAGCGUAUAUUAAAGUUGUUGCAGUUAAAAAGCUCGUAGUUGAAUUUCGGGAUCAAAGGAUCGGUCGUGCCUUGGUAUGUACUGGUUUUAUUGGUUCUCACCUUCUAAAGAACCAUAAUGUCAUUCAUUUGAUGUUAUGGGGAAUUAGGACUGUUACCUUGAAAAAAUUAGAGUGUUUAAAGCAGGCUUACGCUUGAAUACAUUAGCAUGGAAUAAUGAAAUAGGACAUCAGAUUCUAUUUUGUUGGUUUCUAGGAUCGAUGUAAUGAUUAAUAGGGAUAGUUGGGGGCAUUAGUAUUCAAUUGUCAGAGGUGAAAUUCUUGGAUUUAUUGAAGACUAACUACUGCGAAAGCAUUUGCCAAGGAUGUUUUCAUUAAUCAAGAACGAAAGUUAGGGGAUCGAAGACGAUCAGAUACCGUCGUAGUCUUAACCAUAAACUAUGCCGACUAGGGAUCGGAUGAUGUUAAUUUAUAAUGACUCAUUCGGCUAACCG
rnacentral:misc_RNA from 1 species